rnacentral:lncRNA from 1 species
GAAGAUGGUGAGGUCAACUUGGUCAAUGCCAUGAAGACCCUUCAGGAGCGCAAAGCCGAGCUAGAAGCUGCAAGACUUGCUUUGAAGGAAAUUUUCAAAGUAGCCCAGCCGAUAGCGGACAUGGUGGAGCCCCCAGUUGAGGGUAUAGACCCCCGCCCUCUAUCCAAAAUACUUAAGGAUGUGCUAGCGAAGUUCAUUGGCUAUAUUCAGAAAAUGGCGAAGUCUGUCUCCAAGCAGCUGCUGAGCU